rnacentral:rRNA from 1 species
UGGCCUACGGGAGGCAGCAGUAGGGAAUCUUCCACAAUGGACGAAAGUCUGAUGGAGCAACGCCGCGUGAGUGAAGAAGGGUUUCGGCUCGUAAAGCGCUGUUGGGAGUGAAGAAUGAUAGAGGUAGUAACUGGCCUUUAUUUGACGGUAAUUACUUAGAAAGUCACGGCUAACUACGUGCCAGCAGCCGCGGUAAUACGUAGGUGGCAAGCGUUGUCCGGAUUUAUUGGGCGGUAAGCG